UGCAGCUGAACCUGCUGGUGAAGGCCCCACAUCCAGGACUGAGGCUCUGGGAGAUGCUGAGGGUGUGUCUGCAGGGAGGAGAUUCAUACGUACAUUGGUGGUUAUUGCCAACAAGACCAGUCUGCAUGGCAGGGUUCUUCCGAAGAGGAAGAUGCAAGACACAACGGAGAAGAUAUCCCUGGAACCAUCCAAACAGAUGAGGCAAGUGCUGAAGAAAAUGCUGCAGGGAGGACAAGAAAUCAAAGGAGAGCCUGCGGAGAAAGAAGCAUUUCCUGGAGGAAGCAGUGGUUCCGUGCCAGCAAAUGUUGAAGGAGGGGAGGCCAUGCCAGGCACAGGCACAGGAGAUGAGGUUGCUUCUCCAUCAGCUUGGAUGAAUAAAGUUUUGAAGCCCUUGCAGCCUCCUGCAGGUAUGUUCUCAGUUUGCUACCAAGGAAGAAUUGUAGACAAGCGGGCAGGAACCAGGUGACAGAAGCUGCUGUGGCUGUUGUGUUACAGAUGUGUCUACAGGGAAGACUUCUCCA